UACCGAGGGCGCGAUCCUUCAUCGGAUUUACUCGCCGUAAAGCGUGCGUAGGCGGCUUUUUAAGUCGGAUGUGAAAUCCCCGAGCUUAACUUGGGAAUUGCAUUCGAUACUGGGAAGCUAGAGUAUGGGAGAGGAUGGUAGAAUUCCAGGUGUAGCGGUGAAAUGCGUAGAGAUCUGGAGGAAUACCGAUGGCGAAGUCAGCCAUCUGGCCUAAUACUGACGCUGAGGUACGAAAGCAUGGGGAGCAAACAGG
rnacentral:misc_RNA from 1 species